AGAGUUUGAUUCUGGCUCAGAAUGAACGCUGGCGGCGUGCCUAACACAUGCAAGUCGAACGGGGAAGGCCGCAAGGCUGAGUAGAGUGGCGGACGGGUGAGUAAAAUACGGGAAUUUACCCUUUAGAGGAGAAUACCAUCGAGAAAUCGGUGUUAAUACUGCAUAAGCCCAGAGAUGGGGAAAGGUGGCCUAAUAGCUACCGCUGAAGGAUGAGCCCGUAACCUAUUAGCUAGUUGGUAGGGUAAGAGCCUACCAAGGCAGAGAUGGGUAACCGGCCUGAGAGGGUGUACGGUCACACUGGAACUGAGACACGGUCCAGACUCCUACGGGAGGCAGCAGUGGGGGAUAUUGCACAAUGGGCGCAAGCCUGAUGCAGCGACGCCGCGUGGAGGAAGAAGGUUUUCGGAUUGUAAACUCCUGUUACGCGGGAAAAAAGACUUUGUUUAAAUAAAACAAGGGGAUGAUGGUACCGCGAGAGAAAGCACCGGCAAACUUCGUGCCAGCAGCCGCGGUAAUACGAAGGGUGCGAGCGUUAUUCGGAAUAACUGGGUGUAAAGCGCGUGAAGGCGGCUUUAUAAGUCGUUUGUAAAAGAGCUCGGCUUAACUGAGUAAAUGCAGAUGAAACUAUAGAGCUAGAGUACGGGAGAGAAGAGUGGAAUUCUCGGAGUAGCGGUAAAAUGCGUAGAUCUCGAGAGGAACACCGGUUGCGAAGGCGGCUCUUUGGCCCGAAACUGACGCUAAAGCGCGAAAGCGUGGGUAGCAAACAGGAUUAGAUACCCUGGUAGUCCACGCCGUAAACGAUGAUCACUAGAUGUAGGUUUUGCAAUGCAGAAUCUGUGUCGUAGCUAACGCGUUAAGUGAUCCACCUGAGUACUACGAUCACAAGAUUAAAACUCAAAGAAAUUGACGGGGGUCCGCACAAGCGGUGGAACAUGUGGUUUAAUUCGACACUACGCGAGGAACCUUACCUGGGUUUGACAUGUAACUGCAACUGAUGGAGACAUUGGGUUCCGUAGCAAUACGGACGGUUACACAGGUGCUGCAUGGCUGUCGUCAGCUCGUGUCGUGAGACGUCGGGUUAAGUCCUUGAACGAGCGCAACCCUUGCCGUUAGUUGCCUACCGAAAGGUGGCACUCUAGCGGGACUGCUUCGGAAACGGAGAGGAAGGUGGGGAUGACGUCAAGUCCGCAUGGCCCUUAUGCCCAGGGCUACACACGUGUUACAAUGGCGAGGAACAAAGGGGAGCAAGACCGCGAGGUGGAGCAAAUCCUGAAAACUCGUCUAAGUUCAGAUUGUAGUCUGCAAUUCGACUACAUGAAGCUGAAAUCGCUAGUAAUCGUAUAUCAGAACGAUACGGUGAAUUCGUUCUCGGACCUUGUACACACCGCCCGUCACACCAUGAGAGCUGUCGGCACCCGAAAUCAUUUUAGCUAACUAGGCAACUAGGGGCGUAUGAUGAAGGUGAAGGGAGUGAUUGGGGUGAAGUCGUAACAA
rnacentral:rRNA from 1 species